GGGCACGCAGGAGACCCUGAGCACGCCAAGAGGACGGUUCUCUCUCUAGACCAACCUCUGCUGGACGCUAAGCAAGCGCUACCGAGUCCGGCACCGUUAGAGGCAGUGUGGACUCGGGGCUAGGCUAGGACCUCUAAAAAGUAAACACACCUCCCUAAGGCUAAGGAAGCCCAAAGUGCUGAUUUUCUCCCUAACAACCACGUGGACACUGUCUGUAUUUACAUUAUGUAGUUCUUUUAAACCGAACGUUCUCCUCAUUCUUUGGCUCCUGAUCUGGAUUUGAGCUCAGAGGAGGGAAGCCUGGAGAGGAGAGUUCCCAGUUCCCGCUGCUGCACUGGUCUUCAUCUCCAACCCUCUCCUCCCGUCCACCUCUUGCAUUUUUAAUGUUGUGAGUGUUGCUAAUGGGCUGAUGGAGUAAAGCUUGCUUUUUGCCAUCAUUCAAGCUGCAGUCCCAGCUGUCAGCGCUGCUUGGGAGAGGAAGAGAGAUCCUUUUGAGUAGGGGGAAAGCAGCGGACCCUCGCUGCAGCCCUUCUGCAAUUUCUGUGGCCCCAAGGCUUAUCAGUUUUCAAGAGUUUGAGGACCGCUGCUUUGUGGCUAGGCAUGCUUGCCCUUCUGGCCAGCCAGGAUCGCAGGAGUGCCAAGAGGAGCUGACCUAACUAUGCUCAGAGCAAGAGAGUGGAGAGUCAUGAGUGAAUGCAGACACAUGAGACACAACUGAGCAUCUGUUCACAGGACAAAACCCCAGGCAAGGGGACUUGACUGGACUUGAAUUGAAUCCCAGGAGCCGAAAACACUGAUGGACAAGAUGCUGGGACGGAGCAGGAGGGAGAUUUCCAACUUCGCUGCCAGCACCUUCUCACCUCCCUUCCACAGCCUAGCAGUCUCCCCCGGGAACGGUAGCAGCUGGAUGCCUG